UACGAAGGGGGCUAGCGUUGCUCGGAAUCACUGGGCGUAAAGGGUGCGUAGGCGGGUCUUUAAGUCAGGGGUGAAAUCCUGGAGCUCAAUUCCAGAACUGCCUUUGAUACUGAGGAUCUUGAGUACGGGAGAGGUGAGUGGAACUGCGAGUGUAGAGGUGAAAUUCGUAGAUAUUCGCAAGAACACCAGUGGCGAAGGCGGCUCACUGGCCCGUUACUGACGCUGAGGCACGAAAGCGUGGGGAGCAAACAGG
rnacentral:rRNA from 1 species